rnacentral:rRNA from 1 species
UACGGAGGAUCCUAGUGUUAUCCGGAUUUAUUGGGUUUAAAGGGAGCGUAGGCGGGAGGUCAAGUCAGCUGUGAAAUGUAUCUGCUUAACGGGUACACUGCAGUUGAAACUGGUUUUCUUGAGUGAGUAAGAGGCAGGCGGAAUUCGUUGUGUAGCGGUGAAAUGCUUAGAUAUGACGAGGAACUCCUAUUGCGAAGGCAGCUUGCUGGGUCGUUACUGACGCUGAUGCUCGAAGGUGCGGGGAUCAAACAGGAUUAGAUA